rnacentral:rRNA from 1 species
AGUUUGAUCCUGGCUCAGAGUGAACGCUGGCGGCAGGCCUAAUACAUGCAAGUCGAACGGCAGCACAGCAGAGCUUGCUCUGUGGGUGGCGAGUGGCGGACGGGUGAGGAAUACGUGGGAAUCUGCCCAGUCGUGGGGGAUAACGUAGGGAAACUUACGCUAAUACCGCAUGCGCCCUUCGGGGGAAAGCCGGGGACCUUCGGGCCUGGCGCGAUUGGAUGAGCCCACGUCGGAUUAGCUAGUUGGCGGGGUAAAGGCCCACCAAGGCGACGAUCCGUAGCUGGUCUGAGAGGAUGAUCAGCCACACUGGAACUGAGACACGGUCCAGACUCCUACGGGAGGCAGCAGUAGGGAAUAUUGGACAAUAGGCGCAAGCCUGAUCCAGCCAUGCCGCGUGAGUGAAGAAGGCCCUCGGGUUGUAAAGCUCUUUUGUCCGGAAAGAAAAGCGCCGGGUUAAUACCCUGGUGUCCUGACGGUACCGGAAGAAUAAGCACCGGCUAACUUCGUG